UAGCUAUUAAUUUAACUUAAAAAUAUUAAUUUUGUAAAUUAAAAAUAAAUUUCAAUUAUUUAUAGCUAA
rnacentral:tRNA from 1 species